rnacentral:rRNA from 1 species
GGACUACUCGGGUAUCUAAUCCUGUUCGCUCCCCACGCUUUCGCUCCUCAGCGUCAGUGCCGGCCCAGACCACCGCCUUCGCUACUGGUGUUCCUCCAGAUAUCUGCGCAUUUCACCGCUACACCUGGAAUUCCGUGGUCCCCUACCGGACUCAAGUCAUGGCAGUAUCAGGUGGCAGCCCCAGGUUGAGCCUGGGGAUUUCACACCUGACUUACCAAACCGCCUACGAGCUCUUUACGCCCAAUAAAUCCGGACAACGCUUGCACCCUACGUAUUACCGCGGCUGCUGGCAC